UACAGAGGUCUCAACCGUUGUUCGGAUUCAUUGGGCGUAAAGGGUGCGUAGGCGGUCGCGCAAGUCGGAUGUGAAAUCCCACGGCUCAACCGUGGAAGUGCAUUCGAAACUGCAGGGCUAGAGUCCUGGAGAGGAAGGUGGAAUGCUUGGUGUAGAGGUGAAAUUCGUAGAUAUCAAGCGGAACACCGGUGGCGAAGGCGGCCUUCUGGACAGUGACUGACGCUGAGA
rnacentral:rRNA from 1 species